CACGUAGGGCGCAAGCGUUGUCCGGAAUUAUUGGGCGUAAAGAGCUCGUAGGCGGUCUGUUACGUCUGCUGUGAAAACCCUGGGCUUAACCCCUGGCUUGCAGUGGAUACGGACAGACUAGAGGUAGGUAGGGGAGAAUGGAAUUCCCGGUGUAGCGGUGAAAUGCGCAGAUAUCGGGAGGAACACCGGUGGCGAAGGCGGUUCUCUGGGCCUUACCUGACGCUGAGGAGCGAAAGCGUGGGGAGCGAACAGG
rnacentral:rRNA from 1 species